rnacentral:lncRNA from 1 species
AACUAACUUUACCUUGCUUUGCCUCACAACUGCAACGAUGCCAUGCUAUAUGCAACAGGAAUAUAUGCAACAUGAAUAUAUACAACAACUAGUAGAAUUAUUGAUUCUACAAUCAAUCUCGCUAAUCUUAGCUCAUGUCAUCCAACUCUAAGGUUUCCACUACCUUAGGUUAUCACAUUUACCACUAGCCCUCAAGGUUCUAUCUACCUUAUUCCAGCUAGCCACCCGACUCGGCCUCGAGUCAAUCAACAGCGGAUAAUCCGCGCUCUGCCCGGCUCGAGGUGAAGGAUCCUGUCGCAUGCACCUCAGCCUGCAAGCCAAGAACCACAUCGCCCAACGGUCCGCCCGAAGGUCCGUGCACCGUGGUCAGGGAUCCGCCAGUGGGAGAGGAAACAUAGCCGCGUACACCCAUAGCCAAGAUCCCCGAUAGGGAGAGGAACAUGCCGUACACCCUAGCGCUCUUUGUUCUUGCUUAGUCAUAAUCCUCAAAGUUCUUUCCGGUGGGAGAGGAACAUCGCCGCAUACACCCGCGGUCCAAGAACUAUUGAGUUCACAAGUACUGGGAUUCCGGAAUCGACUUCACAAGUCAAGGGUCCAUAUCCAACCCUAUACUAUUGACCUAUCUAGGUCCAAUGCACUUUCCACCCUAGGUCCAACUGAC